rnacentral:rRNA from 1 species
UACGAAGGGGGCGAGCGUUGUUCGGAUUUACUGGGCGUAAAGGGCGCGCAGGCGGCUAUCCAAGUCAGGCGUGAAAGCCCCGGGCUUAACCUGGGAGGUGCGUCUGGGACUGGGUGGCUAGAGUUCGGGAGAGGAGAGUGGAAUCCCCAGUGUAGAGGUGAAAUUCGUAGAUAUUGGGAAGAACACCGGUGGCGAAGGCGGCUCUCUGGACCGAGACUGACGCUGAGGCGCGAAAGCGUGGGGAGCAAACAGG